rnacentral:misc_RNA from 1 species
AAGUCGUAACAAGGUUUCCGUAGGUGAACCUGCGGAAGGAUCAUUAACACAAGUAAAAAAAACAUUUUACAACACCCUAUUAUGAAUUUAAAUUUUUUAAUUUUAAUUUUUUAUAAAACUACAUUUAAUUUAUUUGACUAACAUUUUUUUAAUUAAUUUAUUUAAAAUUUUAUAAAACAACUCUUAACAACGGAUAUCUUGGCUCUC